ACAAUGGAGAUGGACACUAAUUGCCUUAAGCCUGGAGGCCCCAUGGCUUGGCACCAAGAAUGUGUCCCUGCGCCACCUGUGCUUGUUCAAUAAACAAGGGAGCAGGCCAAGACCAACACGCGCCGAGACUGCCAGGGACGCGCGGAUGAAGGGGGUGAGCACGCGUUGAUCGUUGAACUUAAGGAAACGCACACGCCAGCCGGAACAAAGCUUACGCGGGAAGCAGAAGCGUCCACGCGCACAGCAACUCGCUGGGAGGUACAACACCGCUCAGCAACCACGGAUGAAAAGAAGAAAAUAAAAUAAUUGUAUUCUGAUGUCAACACAAACAAGCUCCUGGAAAACAUCGGCGAUUAAAGGAAAGAUCCACCCUGGAACUCGGGCAAAGAUAAGACGAAACCCCAGGUGCACUCAGGUGCCGAAAAGCCCGCGUAAAAAGGUCUCAAAUUAUCCUCCCCCAUGCACAGCUAGUGGCCAGCCCUCAUUUACUUUUUGGAAACCUCAGUUCGGGUUCACUCCUUUAAUCCACGCACAGCUCAU